rnacentral:rRNA from 1 species
AACGAACGCUGGCGGCGUGCUUAACACAUGCAAGUCGAACGGGAAGUCCCUGCUUUGUUGCGGUGCGCGAGUUGCGAACGGGUGAGUAACACGUGAGUAACGUGCCCUUGACCGUGGGAUGACUUCAGGAAACUGGGUCUAUUAGCGGAAAGGAUCUCCUGCUGCAGGGUGGGGGUGGGAAAGUUUCGGCGGUUGGGGGGGGACUAGCGUCUCAUCGGCUUGUUGGUGGGGUAGUGGGUUACCAAGGCUUUGCAGCGUAGCAGGCCUGAGAGGGUGACCUGCCAAAUUGGGCCUGAGAUACGGCACAGACCACUCCGGGAGGCAGAAGAGGGGAAUAGUGCACUAUGGGAGGAAGCCUGAUGCAGUCAAGCAGCGUGCGGGAUGACGGCAUUCGGGUUGUAUUCCGAUUUCCCCUGUGACGAAGCGUGAGUGACGGUAAUGGGUAAAGAAGCACCGGCUAACUACGUG